rnacentral:rRNA from 1 species
GACGAACGCUGGCGGCGUGCUUAACACAUGCAAGUCGAACGGUAAGGUGGAGCUUGCUCCGCCGGAUCAGUGGCGAACGGGUGAGUAACACGUGGGCAACCUGCCCCUAACUUUGGGAUAACUACUCGAAAGAGUAGCUAAUACCGGAUAUGAAGUCUGUAGGCAUCUAUGGAUUUGGAAAGUUUUUCGGUUAGGGAUGGGCCCGCGGCCUAUCAGCUUGUUGGUGAGGUAGUGGCUCACCAAGGCGACGACGGGUAGCCGGCCUGAGAGGGCGACCGGCCACACUGGGACUGAGACACGGCCCAGACUCCUACGGGAGGCAGCAGUGGGGAAUAUUGCGCAAUGGGCGAAAGCCUGACGCAGCAACGCCGCGUGCGGGAUGAAGGCCUUCGGGUUGUAAACCGCUUUCAGCAGGGAAGAAGCGAAAGUGACGGUACCUGCAGAAGAAGCACCGGCUAACUACGUGCCAGCCGCCGCAGUAA